rnacentral:rRNA from 1 species
GUAGGUGGCAAGCGUUGUCCGGAAUUAUUGGGCGUAAAGCGCGCGCAGGCGGUUCUUUAAGUCUGAUGUGAAAGCCCACGGCUCAACCGUGGAGGGUCAUUGGAAACUGGAGAACUUGAGUACAGAAGAGGAAAGCGGAGUUCCACGUGUAGCGGUGAAAUGCGUAGAGAUGUGGAGGAACACCAGUGGCGAAGGCGGCUUUCUGGUCUGUAACUGACGCUGAGGCGCGAAAGCGUGGGGAGCAAACAGGAUUAGAUACCCUGGUAGUCCACGCCGUAAACGAUGAGUGCUAAGUGUUAGGGGGUUUUCCGCCCCCCUUAGUGCUGCAGCUAACGCAUUAGCACUCCGCCUGGGAGUACGGCCGCAAGGCUG